AAUUCUCAACCUUCCCGGCUUUUUUAAAGUCAGUUAGGCUUGGAUUGUGGGAGCUGUUGGUUUAACACGAAUCAACUCUUCUUAAAUGUAUUAGCAGUCCUUUGCUGACUAUCAUUAGUAUGAUAAUUAUCUAUACUAUUGAAAAUCAGUUUCCCUAGUGGAGAGGCUCUGCUUUCUAAUCGUCUUUCGAGACAAUUCUGACAA
rnacentral:misc_RNA from 1 species